CGUCAGGGGACUACAAGGACAAGGAUGGUGUCAAGGGCCUGUGCGUCGUGGGCGCCAUCAACAACUGUACCUCCCAGCUCCCCACCUAUGGGAGAUCUUCUCCCCCAUAAUUGCAGAUAAUAUAACACAAGCGCUCAUGUUCCUCUCGCACUUCAUCAGAGACAUACACUAGCCACUUCACUCCGACAAAGGAGGGAACACCGUCGACUUCCACUGGAACCUGGAUGCUAGGGCAUGCUCUGUUUUGUUCACUAAUUGCCCGGUUUGGAACGCUAGCAUCAUCUAGCCGACUAAAGACGACUUCUAUGGAGACAGCGUAGCCGGUUACAUCGACAC